rnacentral:rRNA from 1 species
GAUUAACGCUGGCGGCGUGCAUAACACAUGCAAGUCGAACGAUGAAACUCAUUAGAUUUCUUCGGAAUGAAAAUGAAUGGAUUAGUGGCGAACGGGUGAGUAACGCGUGAGUAACCUGCCUUACACAAGGGGAUAGCCUCUGGAAACGGAGAAUAAUACCCUAUGAAACCAGACAAUCGCAUGAUAAUCUGGUCAAAAUGUUUAGUGGUGUAAGAUGGACUUGCGUCUGAUUAGCUAGUUGAUGAGAUAAAAGCUCACCAAGGCAACGAUCAGUAGCCGGCUUGAGAGAGUGUACGGCCACAUUGGGACUGAGACACGGCCCAGACUCCUACGGGAGGCAGCAGUGGGGAAUUUUGCACAAUGGGGGAAACCCUGAUGCAGCGACGCCGCGUGAUUUAGAAGGCCUUCGGGUUGUAAAAAUCUUUUGUAUAGGAAGAAAAUGACAGUACUAUACGAAUAAGGUCCGGCUAAUUACGUG